CCCUUAGAUGUUCUGGGCCGCACGCGCGCUACACUGACGAAUGCAACGAGCUUAUAACCUUGGCCGAAAGGUCUGGGUAAUCUCCAAAUUUCGUCGUGAUGGGGAUAGAUUAUUGCAAUUAUUAAUCUUCAACGAGGAAUGCCUAGUAAGCGCAAGUCAUCAGCUUGCGUUGAUUACGUCCCUGCCCUUUGUACACACCGCCCGUCGCUCCUACCGAUUGAAUGGUCCGGUGAAGCGUUCGGACCGUGGCCUUUGGACGGUUCGCCGUCUGUUGGCUGCGGGAAGUUGAUUAAACCUUACCAUUUAGAGGAAGGUGAAGUCGUAACA
rnacentral:rRNA from 1 species